rnacentral:tRNA from 1 species
AAGCAAUUAGCUCAACAGGCAGAGCGUCUCGUUUACACCGAGAAGGUUAAUGGUUCGAUUCCAUUAUUGCUUA